CUCCGCCCCAGGCUCAACGGCUGCGGAAGUUCUUUCCUGGUCUCCUUCGCACAGUUCCACAGGAUUGUUCCAUGCGGAUAGUCUCCUGCUUUGGCUUUCGGCCUUGACGCCCGUUCCUGGAGACCUGGACUAUGGCCUAGCUGUGCGCUGAGCCAAGACCCAGCGAAUGACUGCAGAACGAGUAUGGCGUCCCCUAGUGGCGCAAGUUGGGAAGACCUACAUAAUAACAGACUGGAACCGUUAUAUAAACAGCCUUGUCUUUACGAGCAACUUUAACUGGAUGUAUAAAAUUCACCUAAAGUAAAAGCACUAAAGUAUUUUCCUCCUA